rnacentral:rRNA from 1 species
CGCAGCCGCGGUAAUUCCAGCUCCAAUAGCGUAUAUUAAAGUUGCUGCAGUUAAAAAGUUCGUAGUUGAAUUUCGGGGACCAAUAUGUCGGUCGUGCCUCGGUACGUACUGGCAUCGUUGGUUUCUCCCUUCUGACGAACCAUGAUGUCAUUUAUUUGGUGUCGUGGGGAAUCAGGACUGUUACUUUGAAAAAAUUAGAGUGUUUAAAGCAGGCUCACGCUUGAAUACAUUAGCAUGGAAUAAUGAAAUAGGACGUUUGAUUCUAUUUUGUUGGUUUCUAGGAUCGACGUAAUGAUUAAUAGGGAUAGUUGGGGGCAUUAGUAUUCAAUUGUCAGAGGUGAAAUUCUUGGAUUUAUUGAAGACUAACUACUGCGAAAGCAUUUGCCAAGGAUGUUUUCAUUAAUCAAGAACGAAAGUUAGGGGAUCGAAGACGAUCAGAUACCGUCGUAGUCUUAACCAUAAACUAUGCCGACUAGGGAUCGGAUGAUGUUAAUUUUUUAAUGACUCAUUCGGCGCCUUA